UUCUUUAAUAUUCUUAACUAUUUUUUCUAUAUUCUUUAUAAAUUAAGCCUAGGCUAUUCUUAAUUCUUUAUAUUUCAACACCCUCCUAUUUUCUAAUCUUUAGUUUUUGUCCUAUUUUUCUCUAAUUUGUUUGUCCUGCCAUUCAUUCUACCGUGACGUCACAGUCUGUCCAUUAGUCUCUCAGGAUUCUGUAAACCCCAUUCAGACCCUCAUAACCGUCUCAUCAAAACUA
rnacentral:lncRNA from 1 species